UCUGGGUUCUCCUGGGGAACCAUGUAUGAUGGAUUGUUCAAGUCUGUGCUUCUCCCCCCUCCACAUGUGACAUUUCUUUCUCUUUACAUGUAUUUCUCUGUCUUUUUGGUGUUUUUCAGCAUUGCUUGAGUUCAUUAUCAUCAGUGGCUUUUAAACUAUUUUUUAAAGCUUUAGAACACUUAAACUGAAAUUAUGAAGCAGAACCACAGUUUAUAAAAAGGCCUUAAAGACACAGUGGUUCUGCCCUGGCAGAGGCCCAGGGCUGUGCAUACUGUUUCCUUAAAGGCUCAAAAGGGCACUGAUGACGUAUUCACAUCAGAACGCCCUAGGAGACAGCGAAUCGAGUCCACUGAGACCAGUCUCCAGACAGUUGAAAGGGGUGUGUGGUGUAUCCAGAGAGAAAAUAAAACUAGCAAAACUGGGGGGAAUUUGACAUUCUGCUCUGCAGAAAGCACUUUAAACAGCUUUAAUUUUAAUAGUUGGAAGUGUCUGGCCUGCCUUUCCCUAUUUGCGGCACAGAUUUUAAUUGGGACUCUCUCCGCUCUUGUGAAGUCUUUUCCCGUCUUGGUGCUUUUCCUUCUGGAUACCAGCUAUUCUCAUCUCCUCCCUUUCUGUCACUGAGAUUCACUCCAGUCUCAUGGAGGAAAUGUCCUUUUAUCCUCAAGUGACUCAUCAAAAUUAUCCAAGGAUUUCUUCUGCUAUCAUGAAAGCAUCGACCUUAGAGUCAACCAGUGGCACCUUCGUCGUUUGGAACACACCCCCACUCUGUUACAGAAAGGCCUUAUUUAGAUGGCAUGUGCUCGCUGCUUGCUUUGUUUGUGUGCAUAUUUAUAUACGUUUUGAAAGGAAUGUGGGUUAGGGUUCUUCAAAGAAAAGUAACCAACAGGCUAUCUACCUAAUACACCAGUAGAAGGACUGUUACAGCUCACGAGGUCAUGGAGACAGGUGGAUUCUACAGUUUGACAUCUGUAGGGAGACCCAGAAGAUCUAGUGGCAUAAUCUAGUCAGUAUUUGAGGACCUCAGAACCUAAGGGAGGAUAUAAAUCCUGGAAUCUGAAGGCCCGAGAACCAGGACAGGAGAAGAUGGAUGUCCUAACUCAAGGAGACAGUCUCCUCUCCUCCGCCUUUUUAUUCUAUUCUGGAACCAAAUGGGAUAGAUCCUGCCUUCCCUCCCCAUAGAUGAGGGCGGAUCUCCUUUACUCAGUCAGUGAUUUGAAUGCUAACCUCUCCCCAAAAUAGCUCAAACACACCCAGAAACAGUGUUUGGCCAACUCUUGGGAUAUCUCUCAGCUCUGUCCAAAUGACUCAUGGAAUUAUUCCCUGUCACACAGGGUCGAGUACAGGGGCCUGUUAGCACAGUAAGCACAGCCAGGGUUGCUUGCAUGUGUGAAUGCUUUAUGUGUAUAAAAACUCAGCAAGAAUACUCAUAUGCAUGUGUGUAUGCCUGCAUGUACACACAUACAGAUGCACACACACAGAUUCACAUGCACAGUACAAAAUUACCCACCUCCCUGUACAUAUAAGCCUGUCUAGGUAGGUCCUAUCAUCCCAGUGCCGAGACACAAACUUCAUAUGGUGUUUUUCAUGACCUCUGCUGUGUAGUGAAGUCCCAGCAUUUCCCUGAAGUACAUCCUUUCAAAUGAACCAAGCCAUAAGGGAUCAGAGAGUCUUUCCCAUUACCUAAAAAAGCCUGUUGCUAUUUUGUAUGAUGAUGAUAACAGAUCACACACACACACACACACACACACACACACACACACCCCACAUGUAUAAUUUUGAGAAAAUUUUGUUUCAUGAUUUCUUAAAAAAAUUUGUUUCUCUUCUAAGUUUACAUCCUAUGAAAGGAAGUAGGCACUUUAAUGAACAUGGAAUAUUCAUAUCACAUGGGGAAUGAAUACACCUGAGUAUCAUCUUUACACGAGUUCUAAGCCUUUUUGUCACAAAAAUCUGUAUGACUUAUUCUACAGAAACAAGAGCUGGGAUUCCACUGUUUGCAUAUCUUGACUAAUGGAAUUUGAAAGGCUGUUAAAAUAAGAAGGGAAUAGUGCUCUGUGAUAAUAACGAAAUGAACCAAAUGAUUGGUCCAGGGGGACAAGAAGAAAAAAAAAAACCUAAGAAAUAUCAAAAGGGAACUUACCAAGUAAAAAGGGAGGAAAUCAUUUGACAAAUGAGAUAAUAGCAGCCGCCCCCAGGUGGAGCCGGAUUGACUGCCGUAGCCAACAGGCAUCAUCAGCAUGUCAGAGCGAGUAGCAUCUCCGUGAUAGAGGAGUGAGGAGGGACAUGCUCACCAAUGGCAGGAUGCUGAGUGAGUGAGUACAUCUGUCGGAUGAUGAAUGAGCUGGUGACGCGGACCUGACAACGGGCAGGAGAAGAUGCCUGGAAAGAGGAGACAGCAGGGAAACCCUCACUCCUGGACCAAAGGACUCUGAGAUGCGCUGUCAUACGCAGGAAGGGUCUUGCCCAGUCUGCUUUGGCCACUGUGGGAAACGUAAGAAAACUCCUGCUCAAGAGAAAGCUGAGACCCCUAGUGUGGGCCUGGCUGUUUGUGGUGUGUGUCUUGUUUAUCUCCUCUAGGCUUUUCCUCCUCAUUCCUCAGGAUCGUCGUCUGUAAAGCAGCAGUGAUGAUGAUAAUCGUGCCAUCCAUCCUUCCCUGUGGGGUCAUUUGAAGAUUUCAAAAUGCUGAAAAUGUUGCCAGCACAUAGACCAGUAUAGUCCUCACUUCUCUUCAAGGAAACUUCUCUUUGCAACAGACAGAGUCUAUUAGAGAAAACCACAAUCAAUCAAAAUGCAGAGUUGUGGAGCCCAGCCCUGAAUGAUACAUCUCCAGCACAACUUCUGCACCUAAGGCUCAGAGAUCAUUGAGAAGGGGCGUGAGCAGAAAGAUCAUAAGAGCCAGAGGAACAGGGAGUUUGCUGUGAGAUUGUCUUCUGGAAAUGUCAGAAACUACACCCAUAAAGUCUCACCAUCAUGACUGCCCAAACAUGACCUGAACAAGGACAACAGCAGUAGACAUGUUGAUGUGGACAGGAGAAAGCCCACAAGGCCUCAAGACUACACCAAGAACUCCAGGCAGUUAAGGAAUCCUGAGAAUGAGAGAAACAGUCUUCCCCCGGGAAGAGCACACCAACUGGCUAUCCAAUACCAGAUAGUCAGUCCUGAAAAUGUAUACAUACAAGUAACAUUAUACAGGCUGAGCAGGAUGCAUUUAUGUAUGUAAGACUAUACACACACGCAUACACACACACGCACACACACACACACACAAAACAACAAUUAUUAAAGAAAACUAGUCGUGAAUUUAAAGAGAAUGGAUGAGGUACAGAGAGGAUUUGGAGGUGAGAAAGGAGAAAUGUAAUUAGAAUCUCAAAACCCAACCACAUUUAAAAAUGAAAAAAGAGAUCAGCAUCACUAAUCAGUGGAGAAAUGCAACUCAGAACCAAGAGAUACCAUCUCCCAUCUGUUGGAAAGGUUAUUAUGAAAUAAACAAAUAAUAAAAAAACA